AGAGAAGCAAAUACCGAGGUAUGCCGUGCCGAUGCUGCAUCUCGUGGAGGAUAUUUCUGCUGUAUAAAUUGUGAACGUCGGGAUAAGGCGUCUACACGAUCUCGAUACGUAACAGAUGUCGACUAGCACAAUCAUCUGAUUCCUCAUGCUGCAUUAUUCAUCCGGGAAUAAUCAACCUUUGCCAAUAUUUUACAACCUCCGUGCGUGUCUCCGUGUCCAGCAACAGCGAAUCACCGUCGGCGUCGUUCUCUCGUGCGGCCAUGAUAAAAACGACCACGCGAGCGCGCACGAGAUAGACGGAUGAAAGAGCCCGGCGGGGAAAACGAGUCACGGAUCGGCGAACUAUCCCGUUAUCGUUCCCGCUGUCCAAUUAUUACAUUGUAAAUGGCGCGAUGAAACCUCGACAGCCGCGUUUUACCGAAACUGUCGCCGGGGGAGCGCGCGUGCAUGCUUCCAUUUGGCGAGCUCCUGGCGGUACAUAUAUCGUUCUUUGCCGAUAAGCUGCCGUCACGCGCCUACCCAUUUCGGCCCAUGCACGGUCCCAGAAAUAUUAGUAUUAGAAAUAUUAGUUAAGAAUGUAUGGGAGAUACAAUCGGAGAUAAAUGUAUACGAAAUUUUAAUAAAGUGAAUUUCAUUCUAAUUACAGUAUUUAAACGAACAAAUUUAUUCGUAUGAGCUUGUUUCUAUUAUCAAGCUUCUAAUUUAUCAGGUUUUGUUUUCAUUUAAUUUUAGAAUGAAAUUCUUAACACUUUUAAUCAUUAAUAAAACACUUUUAGCAUUAUAGUUUAUAAAUUUUUUAAUUACUCUCUCUAAUUUUUUAAUACUAUUUCUCUAUUUGAAUUAACGUGAUAGCAUGUUUUCCAUUUAACUACAUGUAAAUUUGUAAUACAUAGAAAUUGUAACUUUUGAAUAGUUUAGUAAAACGACUCCAAAUUUUUUGAGGGACCUUAGGACACUUGUUAAAAUAAUCUGCAAUUUUGUUUAAUAAAUACUGACUAUUUUAGUAUAUUUCUCACACAUCCUGAGUGUAGUUCGCGGUUAGUUUAACAUAAACGAAAAUAAACGAAUAACUACAGAAAUAUAUUUAGGUUCACGGUAUAAACUCGUUGAAAUUCAAACAAGGAAUAGUAAGAAUGUAAAACGUUACUAGAACAUAAAUUUUGUGUACUUUAAGAUCACUUAGUUUUACUUUAUAAAGUUAAUCGCAAAGAUUGAUAAAUGAUCUUACAGAUUAAUUAAUGAUCUGUUAUACAAUCGCAAUUAAGUUGAGUGUCCCUUACCAGACACGAUUUACUUAAUUUGUCUACAUUCCCAGAUUAUUAUACAACGGUAUUAUUAUAUGAACGCUACUAGCAAUAUCAUAAUAAAUUAUAUUUUGAAUAUUGAAGAAUAUAAAUAUUAUUAUACUACAUAAAUGUAUUACUUCUUACAAUGAAGAUAUUAAAUAUGUUCACU